rnacentral:lncRNA from 1 species
UGACCACAUCAGACAUAGCACUUCUAAAAGCUUCAUGUUGAGAAUGAGUUGCUUUGUAAAACUUUUGCAUUUCGUCAAUGUUUUUUCUUUUUUUGGAGUACUGCCAAGAAUGAAGCUAUUAUUAAUAAUGUGAGUUGCAUAUGCUCUUGUGGCAUUUUUAAAAGUAAGAUACAUUAUCAUAUAAGGUCAAAACCCUUAAAUCGUAGUUGAGCUGGAUGCACCACUGCCAUCCACAGUAAGGCAAAAACAGAUGAAAAGUAAAGUAUUCAGAAUUAACUAGGGUAAAUGUCUGGGAUUCUGGUGCAAAUGAUAAUGUCCUGUGUACCCGCAAAAAAAUAGUUUUUUAGGUCCCAUGAAUUCUAUUUAUUUACAUUAUUUUUUAAGUGGAGCUUCACACUGGUAUGCAAGGUCUGAUAUUAAACUUCCUCUCUAUCCUUAUAUCAAUAUAAUACACACACACACACACACACACACACACACAAAACACACAUGCUAAAUAAAUACUCACCUAUACAUAGAGUAUAAACAAGCUUUGACAGAAUGGAACAUUCCUUCAGUUUACCAGCCCACCCCCAUCUUCACUCUCCUUCCCCAUCACAUUUCAGUUCAACCCCCAGCCCCCUACUACACUCCUUUGUGGAGUUUCUGCAGGCUGAGCUAUGGCCAUCAGAAGUGUAAACGGUUCUCAUUGACGUGUAAUUGCUGCCCAUAACCCUUUGUCAUGCUAGUUUGCAUUUCAAAAGCUCCUGCACCUGAUUGGCUAGGAUUGAAUCCAGGAAGAUAAUAGGUCAGGCAGAAGAAGCAUUAUAUUAACCCCACAGCGUGGAGUCAGAUUAAUACACUCACCUUUUAAAGGCUGGCACUGUGAUGCUCUGGGAGUAUACAGUAAUUCACCAAGGAUAGUUUGACCAAGCUUUUUAUUCCAAAACAGAACUGAAGUCUGAAAUGUCUGUAUUUACUGAACCAACACAACUGCCCACUUCAGUGAAGCAGGAGAUAAAAGAAGAAGAAUUUGAUGAUUUCCUACAAGAGUAUCUGUCUACAUGUAAGACAGUGGAAGAAAAGCCUGUAAUGGAUUGUGAAUGCAAGACUGAAAUGAACACGUCACCCAUCGUGACUUUGAAAGAAGAAAAGUAUUCACCAAUGGAAAUCAAAAAAGAGGAGAAGAGAGAAUUUAUUGUUUCAUUUUUUUCUUCUUAAAAUAUUACAGGAGACAUUCAAAGGAUCCAAUCUAACAAGAGUUGGAAUUCUGAGGAAAAAAGAAACAAAGAGAGUCCCAAUU